CAGCCGCCGCGGGAAUACGUAGGUGGCAAACGUUGUCCGGAAUUAUUGGGCGUAAAGGGCUCGCAGGCGGUUUCUUAAGUCUGAUGUGAAAGCCCCCGGCUCAACCGGGGAGGGUCAUUGGAAACUGGGAAACUUGAGUGCAGAAGAGGAGAGUGGAAUUCCACGUGUAGCGGUGAAAUGCGUAGAGAUGUGGAGGAACACCAGUGGCGAAGGCGACUCUCUGGUCUGUAACUGACGCUGAGGAGCGAAAGCGUGGGGAGCGAACAGGAUUAGAUACCCCUGUAGUCCCUGUCUCUUAUAC
rnacentral:rRNA from 1 species